GACGAACGCUGGCGGCGUGCUUAACACAUGCAAGUCGAGCGGUAAGGCCCUUUCGGGGGUACGACGAGCGGCGAACGGGUGAGUAACACGUGGGUGACCUGCCCUCAGCUCUGGGAUAAGCCGUGGGAAACCGGGUCUAAUACUGGAUAUGACUCCAUGACGCAUGUUGUGGGGUGGAAAGCCUUGUGCGGCUGAGGAUGGGCCCGCGGCCUAUCAGCUUUGUUGGUGGGGUGANGGCCUACCAAGGCGAC
rnacentral:rRNA from 1 species